GCGAUGAUAGGCGCUGAUGAGACGAGAUUGAAGUGCAGCCAACACUGCAUGGUGCUUCUCACAAGAGCUGACCCAAUGCUGUUUUUCAACUCUUCUGGAAAAGAUCCCGAAAGAAGAUAACAGCUUGUUUUCUUCACCGCCACCAGUCUACCUGCUCUCUGCACACUCGGCAGAGCGCGGCAGGGCACCCCACGGAGCUGCACUAGUCACAUCCGGGCCCCACGCCGGUCGACGGCCGAUGCGAUGGAGGCACUACUCCGAGCUGGACUGGUGGCCGGCUCGGAGCUGGUGGAUGUCGACCGCGGAGCGGCGUUCUACUCCUUCCACCGGGCCCGGCAGCAGGAGCUCCAGAUGUCCUUGUGCCACCCGUCCGGCCAGGCCUCCAUCCACCUUGUAGAGGCGGAGCGGGAGACGGUGAAGCUCACGGCUCCGUUGGAACAUGGCCGCUGGGAGGCCUGCGGCGCGGACGACGGAUGCGGCAGUUGGUCAAGACACGGCAGCCUACUCGAGGUGCUUCUCGCCUGGAGGACGCAGGCGAAUCGCGUUAUCCGAGCUGUGCCUCGUCAUGGUGCGAUGAGCCUUAAUAGACUAAUGCAUAUUCUUCCUUUGGCUGUAAUUCAUUUGCUGCUGCCCGCUGGGCUAAGG
rnacentral:lncRNA from 1 species